CGCGACCUCCGAUCCGUUCCAGAUGCCCGGGUACCCGGCGCCGGUCUCCCUUCCCCUUGGGGACCUCGACUCCCCCCAUCAUUCUUCUUCUGUACAUGACUACUAGUACUACCUAGUGCGGUACUGCCCGUGAUGCUUAGUAGUCGUAAUUUCCAUUCCAUUGGGAUCACUAUGUGCGAUUGAUUUUCCGUUGCUACUACCAACACUGUUAAUUAAUGCAACAUGCUGUUGGAAUUCUGCUUACUCACGACCUUUCACUUCGCAUACAUUGUGCAAUAUUGCUUGUUUGAAGUUCACUGUGAUUUGGCGCUGUAUCAUAAUAUCAUUCAGUGCAAGCGCCUGUUUCAAGUUUCACGCCUCCAGCAUCGUUCACUGAGAUUGAAUUUGCAAUCGCAUCUGUGGACUAUGUUCCAGAUAUUUCAGUACCAAAUACUUUACUACCAGAGGACCAGUACCCAUAAUAUUACUCAAACUCUAGUGCCUUCAGUUGCACACUCCACCACAACUCCUUCAUUCGAAAUAUUCCAAGCACUCUGUCAUGCAUUAUGUUGCUAUUAUAUGACCUUUUCACUACUCGCAAUGAAAUCAGGGUUUGAUAUGUGUAGCAGCUGUCUCGACUAGGUCUUCAUGUUUUCAAAAUAAGGGCAUGUUUGGUUGGCGCCUAACCCACAAACACAGUUCAACAGUAACUGCAGUCCAUAGGUACCAUUACCGUUUCUGAUUUUGUAAAUUUAGUUCCACUUCCCACCACGUGCUGAGAAAAUUUUACGCUGUUCUUUUUCCUCACACAAGAUUAUCUGUUUUGGCUUAUGACUUAAUGCUAUGCUGAAUUAGUUGACCUGAUAGUUGAUACUCCACCAGGUGCUAUUACGCUGAGUGUAAGUCAACAUGAUGGAGAUUAACUGCAUAUUCCAGGAAUCGAGUCGACAUCAUAACAAGAAGCACAUUAUUCUAGGAAUCGAGUCAACAUCAUAACAAGAAGCACAUUAUUCUAGCAAUCAGCACGUGCGGCUUCUCAAGUUCCUAAUUUAAGUCAGAUUGCAACAACUGUCUUGAGCUUUUGGCACUAUAUAAGCUUCUGAUUGCACUGCCAUGCAUCUGGAAGCAUCUUUUACUCCAUGGUCUGCUGGAGCAAUGUCAUUGAUGGUAUCUAUGCUGAUAAUUUAGGCUUGACCAGAAAAUAGAUGAAACGGUCUAAAGCUAAUCCAGGAUCAUUACAUGAUUUACAGAGUAGUAGUGCCUUUAUGGUCCCCUCAGGGCUCAGGAUCAUAUUUCCGUGUUAUUUCCACGCUGUUUGGCUUCAAACUGGCCAAGCAUCUGGUAGGUGGUAGACUUGUUCAGAUGGAAUGAUGAACUUGUCCUGCUGUUGGUGUUACACAUAUGCUGAGAAGAUUACAUGUUGAGGGCAUAGAUCAGCAUCAGCAGGUUCAGCCUACAUAUGUGACAUAUCCAUGCAUCCGGCGAGACAUACAACCAGCUAUUUGGGGGGAAUAGCAGUGG